rnacentral:tRNA from 1 species
AAGGGAGACCUAAUUCAGGUAGGCGACGAAAAAAAAGUAGUCCCUACCAAGAAUCAAUCCCAAAAGGUCGGAGCGAGGCAAGAUUGGCUUUCAAACUAGGUUCUGGGUUCAAACAAGACCUGAAUCAGGAACAAGGGCUAUUAGCUCAGGUGGUUAGAGCGCACCCCUGAUAAGGGUGAGGUCCCUGGUUCGAGUCCAGGAUGGCCCACCUGCACAGGUGGCCAAAACAAAGAAAAAAAGCUCCGAAUCAGCACCUUAUCUUACUUAUAUAGUAAGAGAGAAUGCUGGCUCUGAGUACAGAGUCCAGAGGAACCUUGAAAACUGCAUAGAGCUAGGUGAAAAAGCCAAAAAAGAAGACCGCAA